GAUGAAGAACGCAGCGAAAUGCGAUAAGUAAUGUGAAUUGCAGAAUUCAGUGAAUCAUCGAAUCUUUGAACGCACCUUGCGCCCUUUGGCCAUUCCGAAGGGCAUGCCUGUUUGAGUAUCAUGAACACCUCAACUCUCAUGGCUCGCCAUGAUGAGCUUGGACUUUGGGGGUCUUGCUGGCCUGUGGUCGGCUCCUAUCAAAUGGAUCAGCUUGCCAGUGUUUGGUGGCAUCACAGGUGUGAUAACUAUCUGCGCUUGUGGUUUUCCAUCAGAUAACCUUCAGUGAUGGAGGUUCGCUGGAGCUCAUAAACGUCUCCCCUAAGCGGGGACAGCCCUUUGAAUGUUUGAUCUCAAAUCAGGUAGGACUACCCGCUGAACUUAAGCAUAUCAAUAAGCGGAGGA
rnacentral:misc_RNA from 1 species